rnacentral:ncRNA from 2 species
GCUUUAUCGAGAGUGGUGGAGGGAAAGGCCCUGUGAAACCACAGCAACCGGUUCGCGAAAGCGAAUGCCAGGUGCUAAAUCCUGCCGACUGACCAGGCGAAGAUGAGGU